AGCGAACGCUGGCGGCAGGCUUAACACAUGCAAGUCGAGCGGGCGUAGCAAUACGUCAGCGGCAGACGGGUGAGUAACGCGUGGGAACAUACCUUUUGGUUCGGAACAACACAGGGAAACUUGUGCUAAUACCGGAUAAGCCCUUACGGGGAAAGAUUUAUCGCCGAAAGAUUGGCCCGCGUCUGAUUAGCUAGUUGGUAGGGUAAUGGCCUACCAAGGCGACGAUCAGUAGCUGGUCUGAGAGGAUGAUCGGCCACAUUGGGACUGAGACACGGCCCAAACUCCUACGGGAGGCAGCAGUGGGGAAUAUUGGACAAUGGGCGCAAGCCUGAUCCAGCCAUGCCGCGUGAGUGAUGAAGGCCCUAGGGUUGUAAAGCUCUUUUGUGCGGGAAGAUAAUGACGGUACCGCAAGAAUAAGCCCGGCUAACUUCGUGCCAGCAGCCGCGGUAAU
rnacentral:rRNA from 1 species